rnacentral:rRNA from 1 species
AUUGAACGCUGGCGGCAUGCUUUACACAUGCAAGUCGAACGGUAACAGGCCGCAAGGUGCUGACGAGUGGCGAACGGGUGAGUAAUGCAUCGGAACGUGCCCAGUCGUGGGGGGUAACGCAGCGAAAGCUGCGCUAAUACCGCAUACGAUCUGUGGAUGAAAGCGGGGGACCGAAAGGCCUCGCGCGAUUGGAGCGGCCGAUGUCAGAUUAGGUAGUUGGUGGGGUAAAGGCCCACCAAGCAAACGAUCUGUAGCUGGUCUGAGAGGACGACCAGCCACACUGGGACUGAGACACGGCCCAGACUCCUACGGGAGGCAGCAGUGGGGAAUUUUGGACAAUGGGCGCAAGCCUGAUCCAGCAAUGCCGCGUGCAGGAAGAAGGCCUUCGGGUUGUAAACUGCUUUUGUACGGAACGAAACGGCUCUGGUUAAUACCUGGGGCUAAUGACGGUACCGUAAGAAUAAGCACCGGCUAACUACGUGCCAGCCGCCGCCGUAAUAC